CGGGACACGUGACAUCCUGUCUGAAUAUGGGGGGACCAUCCUCCAAGGCUAAAUACUCCUGACUGACCGAUAGUGAACCAGUACCGUGAGGGAAAGGCGAAAAGAACCCCGGCGAGGGGAGUGAAAUAGAACCUGAAACCGUGUACGUACAAGCAGUGGGAGCCUACUUGUUAGGUGACUGCGUACCUUUUGUAUAAUGGGUCAGCGACUUAUAUUCUGUAGCAAGGUUAACCGUAUAGGGGAGCCGCAGGGAAACCGAGUCUUAACUGGGCGUUAAGUUGCAGGGUAUAGACCCGAAACCCGGUGAUCUAGCCAUGGGCAGGUUGAAGGUUGGGUAACACUAACUGGAGGACCGAACCGACUAAUGUUGAAAAAUUAGCGGAUGACUUGUGGCUGGGGGUGAAAGGCCAAUCAAACCGGGAGAUAGCUGGUUCUCCCCGAAAGCUAUUUAGGUAGCGCCUCGUGAAUUCAUCUUCGGGGGUAGAGCACUGUUUCGGCUAGGGGGUCAUCCCGACUUACCAACCCGAUGCAAACUACGAAUACCGAAGAAUGUUAUCACGGGAGACACACGGCGGGUGCUAACGUUCGUCGUGAAGAGGGAAACAACCCAGACCGCCAGCUAAGGUCCCAAAGUCAUGGUUAAGUGGGAAACGAUGUGGGAAGGCACAGACAGCCAGGAUGUUGGCUUAGAAGCAGCCAUCAUUUAAAGAAAGCGUAAUAGCUCACUGGUCGAGUCGGCCUGCGCGGAAGAUGUAACGGGGCUAAACCAUG
rnacentral:rRNA from 1 species